rnacentral:rRNA from 1 species
CCUACGGGGUGCAGCAGUGAGGAAUAUUGGUCAAUGGACGCAAGUCUGAACCAGCCAUGCCGCGUGCAGGAAGACGGCUCUAUGAGUUGUAAACUGCUUUUGUACGAGGGUAAACGCAGAUACGCGUAUCUUUCUGAAAGUAUCGUACGAAUAAGGAUCGGCUAACUCCGUGCCAGCAGCCGCGGUAAUACGGAGGAUUCAAGCGUUAACCGGAUUUAUUGGGUUUAAAGGGUGCGUAGGCGGUCGUAUAAGUUAGAGAUGAAAUCCCGAGGCUCAACUUCGGACUUGCCUCUGAUACGGUUCGGCUAGAGAGUAGUUGAGGUAGGCGGAAUGUCUGGUGUAGCGGUGAAAUGCUUAGAGAUCAUACAGAACACCGAUUGCGAAGGCAGCUUACCAAGCUAAUUCUGACGUUGAGGCACGAAAGCGUGGGGAGCAAACAGGAUUAGAUACCCUAGUAGUC